rnacentral:rRNA from 1 species
AUGAAAAUCAGUGGAUGGAAAGAAAAAUUGCUAUCUGCGGGUGGGAAGGAAAUUUUGCUCAAAUUUGUUGUACAAGCUAUCCCGGCUUAUGCCAUGUCCGUCUUUAAAAUUCCUAAAAAAACUUGUAAGGGAAUCAUUGACGCGAUGUCGCAAUUUUGGUGGGGUAACGAGGACAACCAGAAGAGAAUGCAUUGGAUGGCGUGGUGGAAGAUGUGCGUCCCAAAAGACCAAGGAGGUAUGGGGUUCCGAGAUAUCCACUGUUUUAAUCUGGCAUUGUUAGCCAAACAAGCAUGGCAUCUACUUGAUAAUCCUGAGUCUUUAUGUGCUACGAUCUUGAGAGCUAAAUAUUUUCCGGACGGCAAUUUA